rnacentral:rRNA from 1 species
UACAGAGGAGCCAAGCGUUGUCCGGAUUGACUGGGCGUAAAGCGCACGCAGGCGGCACCGCGCGUGGGGUGUGAAAUCUGGCCGCUUAACGGCCAGGCGCCAUCCCAUACGGCGGAGCUGGAGUGAUGCAGAGGUCGGUGGAAUUGCCGGUGUAGUGGUGAAAUGCGUAGAGAUCGGCAGGGAACACCCAGGGGGGAAACCAGCCGACUGGGCAUCUACUGACGCUGAGGUGCGAGAGCGUGGGGAGCGAACAGG